CCUUGUAUCUCUCCCAUGCAUCAUAAAGUGUUUCUAAAUCCAUCUGCACAAAAGAAGAGAUAUCAUUACGCAAUUU
rnacentral:snoRNA from 1 species